UACGAAGGGGGCUAGCGUUGCUCGGAAUUACUGGGCGUAAAGGGAGCGUAGGCGGAUAGUUUAGUCAGAGGUGAAAGCCCAGGGCUCAACCUUGGAAUUGCCUUUGAUACUGGCUAUCUUGAGUACGGAAGAGGUAUGUGGAACUCCGAGUGUAGAGGUGAAAUUCGUAGAUAUCGAGGAAGAACACCCGUGGCGGAAGGCGGCUCCUCUGGGACGGUACUGACGCUGAGACGCGAAAGCGUGGGGAGCGAACAGG
rnacentral:rRNA from 1 species